rnacentral:rRNA from 1 species
UACGUAGGGGGCAAGCGUUGUCCGGAUUUACUGGGCGUAAAGAGCGUGUAGGCGGCCAAACAGGUCCGUUGUGAAAACUCGAGGCUCAACCUCGAGAGGUCGGUGGAAACCAUCCAGCUAGAGUCCGGAAGAGGAGAAUGGAAUUCCUGGUGUAGCGGUGAAAUGCGCAGAUAUCAGGAAGAACACCCGUGGCGAAGGCGGUUCUCUGGGACGGUACUGACGCUGAGACGCGAAAGCGUGGGGAGCGAACAGG